rnacentral:misc_RNA from 1 species
GUAGUGGAUUAUAUGAUGGUAUAUUAGAAUACGAUAACGCACAUUGCUUUGUCAGUGAUUUCUGGCCUCCGUCUGCCUCCUCAUGGAUGCACAGGUGUCACUCAUGGCCCCCACCUCAUGUUGUAAACGAUAUUAUUAGAAGUGGGUGUCACUUUGUAGCGAUAGGACACAAACUAGGAAAUCAUACAGACAACGAAUGGAGAAUUUCUUUUUCACAGGCGGAAUACAAACUUGUGUGUUCAAUGAAUCACACACAAUUCUUAACUUAUGGAUUACUCAAAUUGUUCUUAAAGGAAAUAAUUAAUGAAGGAUUGAGAGAUGAAGAUAAACUACUGUGUUCCUAUCACAUGAAAACUACUGUUUUCUGGGCGAUUCAACAAAAUGUUCUACCUCGCUGGUGUUCACAAAACCUUCUGGUCGGUUUCUGGGUCUGCUUUAAACUUCUCCUUAAAUGGGUGUAUGAGGGAGUGUGUCCCAACUUUUUUAUUCCAGAGAAUAACAUGUUUUUGAGCAAUAUCUAUGGUGAAGCACAAAAGACAUUAUUCACACGACUAUAUAGGUUGUAUGAGAAUGGCAUACCAUUGCUGUUACACAGUCCCUCCAUCAGGUCCUACAUCAUUAAUGUUCUGUGUAAUCCUAGACUUACUAUUUGUACUGAUGAACAUACUCUGAUCUCUGAGGUUGAAGUUGAUGAAGAUAUUUUCAGAGAGAUAUAUGAAAAUGAUGCAAUAAGCACAUUGGACCUACAUACAUGUGAAAUAUAUCUACAUACGGUAGAACAGUUGUUAGGUUUACCGCUGACACAGUAUCACAUUGUCAUGUUACAGAAACUUACAGCCACCAUCCUUCAGUGUACUGCAUUUAUAUUACACAGCAUGUACACUUACACAGGUUCUAACAAACAGUUGUAUAUUGUAAACAAAGUAGCCUGUCGUUUGGUGAAAUUAUCAGCCAAGUUUGGGUUUGUGUCUGACAUGUUAUACAUUGCAAUGCAUUAUUACAGAACACUCCGAUACAGGGAUGCUUUAUCAGUUAUAGAUACCAUAAAGGUCAAGUUAGCACAGCCAUUUCUGAUGUAUAAGAGUCAUGUAGACAGAGAGAGGUAUACUGAGGCUGUAGGGGGACAGUCCUUGUCUACAAAGAUGAGACAGGCUGUAGCAAAAGAUAUCAUACUUAAAAAUAAUAUCUUUUAUAUCAAUGAAUUAAUACCAGAACAACAGUCUAUAACCAAAACAAUCAGCCUUCCCUGCAUAUGCAUAUUCCACCCCUUGUACUGUUGUAUAUGCUGGAGUUAUUGUGCUCUAGACGUGCCGACACAAUGAGAGCACAGAGAGCUUUAGAUGAUCUACAGGUCCUAGUCCACCAUGAUCAGGGACAGUUAGUGCCUGUAGAGCUCAGAGACAUCUCCUGGGAGAUCCUGGGGAUCUGUCAACAGAUAUCAGGGAACCUCCAGGCUGCCCUGUACUCAUACCAACAGUCACUCAGACAGUAUCCAUUACAUAAAAUACAAACUGCUACCAGACAGAGAAUUCGGGAUCUACAUUUAUGAACUUACUGACAAGCAGUAUGGAAUUCUUGUAUGUCAAAUUUUAACACUGACAUUGUUAAUUGUGUUUGUUCUAGUUGGUUUUCUCUAAAGUUGUCUUGUGUAUGUUUAAAGGGGAGAUGCACUUAUGAUUUGUAUUACCCAGUAAAUCAGUGUAUAUUUAUCUUAAUUUAGAGCAAAUUUAUUCGUUAAUUUAAUCAAUAUUGUAAACCUAAAAUUCCAAUUUUAGAAAAUAAAUAAUAAUUUGUAUAUAUUAUGAUUUAUUUUGAAGUAUUUAAUAAUAAACAUAAUUCACUAUAU